UAAUUUAAAGGGGACCGAAAAUUUAGAAAUUCCCAAAAGUUUUCAGAUGCGCCGGCGCCGUGGAGGUAGUCGGAGAUUAUCUCUUCGGAUGGGGCCGCCGGCGGGGGAGAAGACGUCGACGGCCGGCGGUGCGAGGCGGCGGAGCUCGGAGGCCUUCUUGAAGAGGCCCCUGCGCCUCUCCGAGUAGGCCACGAUUCCCUCGGCCGAAGAGAUGAUCUCCGACUACUUCCGCGGCGGCGGCGGCGGCGGCGACGGCGAGGUGCCGCCGAUGGGUCUGACCUGAGCGGGUGGACUGGAGUGAGGCUGAGUGGGAUUAUGGUGCGGCGGAGGAGGGCGUGGCAUCCCUGAUCGCGAAGUAUGACCGGUCGUGAUUUUGUACGAGGGUUUCUUGAAUUUGCCAGAGAACUCGGCCAUCGGCGGUGGAAGCUCGGGAGAGGAGUCGAUGCUCUGCGAUCUUCAGGGCUAUGGAUAUAGUCGCGACCCCUUUUACGCUUAAAGAUUUGGAUGUUCCUCUGCGGUGUAAAUGUGAAAUGCGUGUGAUUUUUCUCAUUAAACUGCAUUUUACAUAAUAAAUGUGGUGGGUCGUGUUCAAAUUCGUCUCUUUUUGGAUGAGAAAAGCGUCUUUAGUCAGUUGCUUGAUUAUGUCUCUUUUGCUAGCUUAUGAAAGAGACGAGCUUUGAUUUAGACUGUCUUAUUAUGGUGAUGAAUUGAUGGUCUCGGAUGAUGAAUGCAAUGCCAGUGAAUGCAAAGCUUUCCACUGUCUGUGGAGUAUUAUUGUUCAUGAGAUCAGAUUGUUUAUGCAACAAAUUAUCUGUUCAUUGAUGACUUCUGUGGUAGAAACUUAGAAAAUAGUUUUGGAGAUAGUGGUUUUAAAAUUUAGAUCAGACUGUGAUGCACGUCUCAAGAGGACAUUGAGCGGAUUGUUCUGCAUCUAUUUUAUUUCUUUCGGGUAGUAUGAAGAAGAUAAAAUUUCUGAAGGAACACAAUUAGAAGCAGUGAUAUGGUAGUCCUGUUAUAUCUGCAAUUCCUUUCUUUCUUAUCUUAUUGGAGACGGAUGAGCUUUCCUCAUUUGCAUCUUUCUCAUUGGACUCUGGCAUAGACAAAAGAUUGGGAGAAUCUUCUAUGCUUGACUUGCCUUCAUAAUAAUUACCUAUACUCUUGUAGGCAUCUUAAUGACGAAAAUCAUCAGAUUCUUUACCAUGCCAUUGGUUGCUCAUUUUACUACCAAAGGGUCUGUCUUUCAAGGGGGUGCACCAAGUUCCAUCAUUGAAGGUUUAGUAUUGAAAGCAAGAUUGUGGUGCUUGUCUAUUGCAGAUGAUAGAGCAACUGUAUUGGAGUCAGAGAAGCGGGCUUGGGAGAAUUUGCCAGAAGCUCAGGCUAUAAGAGAAGCUCUUGCUACUUGGAGGAAUCAUGAUGCAGAAGCAAAGGAGAAAUUGUAGUGCCGCCAUCGUUGGGUUUGUCCCUGGAAAAUGACUAAAAUUACGCCAGAUGCACACACUGCACAUUACUCAUCUCUGUCCUGGAAUGAUUUGGAAUAUCCUGAAAUGUUUUGAGGGGCGAUUUUCUGUUUGGCUGCUUGGCAAUUAAAUUCCUGUUCAGCGACUGAGAUUUUCCUGUAUGUGAGUCUUGGAAAUUAUAGGUUCUCUUGGCCUUGUUCUAUAUGUACUUCCCUGAUCAUCCUCCAGUGGUCUGUUUAGAUUUGGCUGCUUGCUUGUCCUUAUUGCUCAUCUCCUCUCAAAUCCCCUUCCACCCAGGUACCGUGGUUCAAAUUUUUUUUGGCUUACUGAAGAGAACUCAGUAGCUGUCAAGUGCUUUUUCUUUUUGAUCAGUUAGAACGAAGUUGUAUAGAUAUAAACAACCAAAGCGCAGACUCUGUCAUACGCAUUUCUCUCUGCAUUUUUGUGUAGGAAAAUUUUUGA